rnacentral:rRNA from 1 species
GACGUAGGGGGCGAGCGUUAUCCGGAAUUACUGGGCGUAAAGCGCCCGUAGGCGGUCUGUCAAGUUCAGGGUGACAGUUACCAGCUUAACUGGUGAAGUACUUUGAAAACUGGUUGACUUGAGAGCGAGAGAGGGACCUGGAACUCCGGGUGGAGCAGUGAAAUGCGUAGAGAUCCGGAAGAACACCAAAGGCGAAGGCAGGGUCCUGGCUCGUUUCUGACGCUGAGGGGCGAAAGCCAGGGGAGCGAACGGG